rnacentral:rRNA from 1 species
GGUCAAGUGAAGAAGCGCAUACGGUGGAUGCCUUGGCAGUCAGAGGCGAUGAAAGACGUGGUAGCCUGCGAAAAGCUUCGGGGAGUCGGCAAACAGACUUUGAUC